rnacentral:snRNA from 1 species
AUUAUUUUCAAGUUCAUAUAAGA